ACUUCCUCUCCCUGGCCUUGAGCCUCAUUUAGGAUCCGCAGAUAAAACACAGAGACCUACUAACACUAAAAAAUUAUUUGCUAUUUCUCUGAAAUUCAGAUUUAACCUGCAUCCUCUUUCUCCUUUUUCUUUCUUCUUCUUUUUUUGCUAAACUGGGCAACAGGGCAGGCCACUGCCGCCGUCAUCAGAAAGACUACUUUCAGUCCAGGCAAACAGAGGAGAGCAAAGCCUGAGAUGGUAACCUGCUCCCCCAGGCCAGAGGAAGCUCAGACCUUCUCACCAGUACCAGGCAAGGAAUGUGGGUCGCCCUGAAGGGAGGGUGGGGGAUGACCAGGCUCACUUAACCACAGAAGGGGGGCCCCCUCAGACCGGUGCAGACACCAGCAGUAAACAGGAAAUGCCCUCUGACCGCAGGGUGGAGAAGAUUCUAGUCCAGAUUCAGAAGAGGAGCUGGUACCGGCCUGUGGCAAUCCCCAGCUGCGGAGGCAGAGCUCCAAGACAAAGCAAGAGGAAUGAGAGGAAACACAAGCCGGGUCAAAGCUCCAGGCCGCUAGCACAGAGGCAGGUGGUGGCACCGAGAUCCCUUCUCCAUAGCACCCGUGAGAGCACAGGGCAGGACAGAGGACAGACCCCUGGCCCAAGGGGCCAACCACCAGCCUCUCAGCCAGCUCCGCCACUGACUUGCUGCUUGGAAAGUCACUUAACUGCUCCAAGCCUCAGUUUCCACUUCUGGAAAUGGGGCUAUGACACCCUGCCUGCCUCUUCAUGCUGGUAUAAGAAUCAACGGCCUGUGACAGGACUUUGUAAACUGUAGGUUGGUAUUGGUUAGGGCUCUUUAGUCACAAACGUGAGAAACCAGACAUUAAACAAGGCAAGGCGCCAGGGGGAUUCACCGGCUCAGAGGCCCAAGACCCAGGACGGGGAGGGGAGGCGCUCUCACCCCGUCUCGUGCCUGCAUCUCUCUGUGAGUCAGUCUUCUUCCACAAGCCUGGGGCCAGCUUCACCUCCUAAAGGAGUUUCUCUGCUCUGUGACUUCUAAC
rnacentral:lncRNA from 1 species